rnacentral:rRNA from 1 species
CCUACGGGAGGCAGCAGUGGGGAAUAUUGCACAAUGGGCGGAACCCUGAUGCAGCGACGCCGCGUGAGUGAAGAAGUAUUUCGGUAUGGAAAGCUCUAUCAGCAGGGAAGAAAAUGACGGUACCUGACUAAGAAGCCCCGGCUAACUACGUGCCAGCAGCCGCGGUAAUACGUAGGGGGCAAGCGUUAUCCGGAUUUACUGGGUGUAAAGGGAGCGUAGACGGUUAUGCAAGUCUGAAGUGAAAGCUCAAGGCUCAACCAUGGGACUGCUUUGGAAACUGUAAAACCGGAGUGCAGUCGAGGUAGGCGGAAUUCCUAGUGUAGCGGUGAAAUGCGUAGAUAUUAGGAGGAACACCAGUGGCGAAGGCGGCUUACUGGACUGUAACUGACGUUGAGGCUCGAAGGCGUGGGGAGCAAACAGGAUUAGAUACCCCGGUAGUC